rnacentral:rRNA from 1 species
UACGGAGGGUGCGAGCGUUGUCCGGAAUCACUGGGCGUAAAGGGCGCGUAGGUGGCUCGUGAAGCGUGCGGUGAAAACUCGAGGCUCAACCUCGAGACGUCGGUUGAAACCAUCUGGCUAGAGUCCGGAAGAGGAGUGUGGAAUUCCCGGUGUAGCGGUGAAAUGCGCAGAUAUCGGGAAGAACACCCGUGGCGAAGGCGGCACUCUGGGCCGAUACUGACGCUGAGGAGCGAAAGCGUGGGGAGCAAACAGG